GCCUUAGUGGCCUAGUCUGUAGAGCAUGAGACUCUUAAUCUCAAGGUCGUGGGUUGGAUCCCCACGCUGUGCGCCA